GCACGAUGAUAUCCGUUGUGCCCCAACCAUUAAUUAACUGGCCACUUAAGGUCCUUGACUCACCAGUCGAAGCCGAUUUUUCGGCGCCCAUGCAAUCUUUGGGUCGGCACGCGGGCAGGCGGGAGAGAAGCCUAGUGAUGAAUCCAUUAGAUGAGAGGAUUCACCAACAUUACAUUAAGCUGCCACUGUGAAGGAUAUCCAAAUCUGUGGGAUACUGUUCACCAUAGUUACAAGCAGCACAGAAAAGGGGCUCUGCCCAGAUGGAAUACCUGGCUCCAUCUACAAUGUUUCUAUUGGAACUUCUGUACCACUGUCUACGAGACUGAUUCAUCUCUGCACGUUUAUUUCAUCCUGUCAAGCCAACUCCACUGGAAAAGUGAAUAAUAUUGCAUCGAUUUUCAGCCUGCCAACCUCUGUGAAGGAAUACCUAAUUGGACUUUGAUCCUGGACUUUGGAACCCACGUGAAAAAAUUAUUAUUUUCUCUGCGGCCUUUGCCCUGUAAAUCUUUUUCUCUAUCCCUCUUUUGCUGUAUAAGUGCACAGGAGGCAACAUGGCGAACCUCCUCCCCUGGUUUGAGA